UUCCCACCCGAUGUGGGAUUACUAGCAGGACCCCACAGAUCAGAAUGCACAUAUUCAAGUAUGCUUUUAGCCUUAUGCGUACUGGUGGAAAACGACACUCUAUGGUGCUUCCCAAGCACACAGUGAUCACAGAACGAUAGGUCAGACACACAGUCAUUACCAAAUGCACCUUUUUCAUUAAGUAGUUUAAGUCCUUUAAUGCUUACGUGUGCAAGCCUACUAUGCCAUGUGUGUGUGUGAUCGAUUUUGGCGGAAGAAAUAGAGGGGUUUGAUCCUUUAAUCACUUCCCCAGUAGUGAUAUAAAUGUCGUUUUUCUUGAUUCCCUUAAUAGAGAUUAAUGCACCCUUCAUCAUUUUAAACAUACUGUUUUCAAUUUUACCGGUGAAGUUGUCUUUCUCAAGUCUUCCUACUGAAAUUAAAUUCCUAGAUAAUUCCGGAAUAUAUCUAACUUCUUUUAACACGUACACAAAGCCUGUGUUAAAUUUUAUCUUUAUAUCUCCAAUUCCAGCAAUUGUAUAGGAGAAGUUAUCACACAGAACUACUUGUCCAUCAUUAGAUCCUUGCAAGUUUUCAAACCAGUUCUUUUCAGAUGUCACAUGAAAAGACGCACCAGAAUCUAAUAUCCAUUCAUGCAUGUGAGAAUUAGUUGUUAAGUUUAAUUCAGUAGUGUAUGCGACUGGACUAGUGAUCACAUAGACUUCACCGUUUUCAGUAUCGGAGGUAGAGGAUAACACAUUUACCUCAUCUCUUUCCUUAAUCUUCUGUUUUCCUUUUUCUUUAUGACAGUCUUUUAUAAAAUGCCCUGUGCCUCCACAGCCAUAGCAUUUUCUACCCUUAGUUCUCGACUUUGAUCUAGGUCUACCAUUCCCCUUCUUUUUCCAACUAUUACUACUUGAUUCACCACUACUUUGGUAUCCAUCAUGACUAGCUUGCCUAAAUUGUGUUCUACCCCGCAUCAUAUGCAGUUCUCCACUCCUCCUAUCCUGUUUUUCAGCCUUCAUUUCCAUCUCUUUACUUCUAAGAGAAUCUACGACAAUUUCAGGUGUUAGCGUGUCCCUACCAUACUUAAUAGCAUUUUUAACUUCUUUAUAAGAGUCCGGGAUUGAAUUGAGCAAGAUAAUGGCCUUAUAGGUUUCAGACACGGCUUCGUCACAAUUGACAAUAUCUUGCACCAAUUUAUUAAAUACAUCUAGAUUGUCGUCGAGAUCCUUUGAAGGAUCCAUUUUAAAGCUGAAGAAUCGUUCGAGUAGGUAGAGUUUAUUUGGUGUAGAUUUAAGCAAGUAUAAGUCUUCUAGUCUUUUCCAAAGUUCUUUGGUAGUUUUUAGUUUUCCCACUUUUCUUAAGACGGCGUCAGACAAGUGUAAUAUUAUUGAGGUAUAGGCAAGCUCAUCGGCUUCCUCUUUUUGUUCUUUUGAGAUAUCAGGUGCAAAAUUGCCUUCGAUGGCUUUUGACACCUUUUGUUGGACUAGUAUGCCUCUCAUCUUUUGUUGCCAGAUAGAGAAGUCCCCUUUACCGUUAAAAAUUUCCAAAUCAAAAUUAUGUGUUGUCAUUGGUUAACACCCUAAUUAAACCACACGAAGUAGUAUUGGGAAACGUGAUAAGGUAAUGUCUUGUUAAUUAUUAGCAAAGGUAAUAAUGAACCUAAACGCUACGUCCACCAAGGAAUAACAAGCACUUUAAAUUAAAAGAACAAAUACUUAAUUAACGCAAGUAAUCCUAAUUCUAGCACAUGCAAUGGUUACCCCUUCACGGUAACCCCAAAACCUAACGAUCACCCCACACGAUGAUCUUGCUAUUGCUGAAUUUAAAUGGAUUAAGCCAAUUUACCAGAGCGGACCUAUCUGAGUCCGUAAAGUGGAGAAAAACGAGCUUGCUGUUGAAUUUCAAUCGGCGUCGUACCAAAGGGCAAAAUCGUCCAACUUUUUCUGUGUAACCUGAAACACAAAACAAAGUAUAUCAGCGCGUUCAGGAGAUCGAAACAAACAAGUUACCUGAAGACUGCGUCGUCGGAAAACCGCCCACGAGCCACCGCCGGCGGCCCACGCGCCGCCUGUCCCGGAGCGCCUCGGCCUGCUGAUGAUGGGUAUGGCCUCCGUUUGUCCAACCGAGCUUUGGUUUGUGAGUAAUUGCAAAUUUUCAAAUUCGAGUUCUAAGUUGAAAGUGUGAAAAUCAGCCGAUUUUGAGCCUUUUUUUGCCACCCAAGCUCUGAUACCAGAUGUUAGGACCUUCCUC
rnacentral:lncRNA from 1 species